CAAGAAAUAGAAAUACGUUUUAAUGCCUUGCUGUCAUUUCCUUCACAGAGUACCUGGAUGAAUACCAUGGGAAAGCAAGAGUCUAAGGAGAGUGUGUGGAUUAUGACAACUCACAAAGCUGAAAAUACCUAAUAUUCAGCCCUUUUGGAAAAAAAAGCUUGUCAAUCCCAGGCUUAGAAGUGCUGGAGCCAGCUUCUGCAGCUACUUGGACAAAGCUGUUGGCAGGAAGAUCAGAUCCAGAGGAAAGAAGAGCUACAGGAAGAAAGACACUGCUCACCCUGGACGGAAGACAGGCCCAAAGUGACAGCAGGUCCAGCCUCCAGCCUAACCUUCAUCAUCAUGGCUCAAUCAGUUGCUCAGUGCUAGUGUCCAGGGGACUUUCUUGAAGGGCUGUCCACAGUUUGGGUAAGUUAUCUUCUCUCUUUAAAAGGAAAAGCUGUGGAAAUGGGGGAGGCUGUGGGAGACUGUUUCCAUUUUGAGUGUCUACUCCAAAGCUCUGGUGUUUUGCCAGGAUUUAAGUAUGGUAUACAAAACACUGUUAAAAAUAACUCCUUGAUUGAACAGAAGGCGUGGGAGAGAGGGAACAGCCAGGCAACUUUGCUAGAGGGUGGGAGAGGUGGGCAAGGAGAGGAAACUUAUACCCAGAGACCCUGGGAAGGGUUUUAUUCCAAAAGAGUUAUGUGGACUCAAAGGGAUUAAGGACAAGGGAAAUAUUGUCCCUGACUGCUCCCUUCCAGAAAUAAUUGCUCAUAAGUGCCCUGCUUUCGCUAGUCCAGGAUAUAAACAUUGCUGGUUCUGAAGGUUUCUCCUAGGACUAAGUCUGCCAUUUUUCAUUCCUGAGUACCAAACUAUGGGACUAAGGUCAGGAGAAAAAAGCAAGGAGAGGGAACCCAAAAAAGGUUAAUAAUGUCAAAAGCCAAGAGAGGUCAGUCAAAGACACAGAGGCCAUACAAAGGUCUACUGGAUUUAGC